UUCAAUCUACACCUAUCUGAAUGUUCGGUCGUUUUCGCAAAUAUGCCACGUAUCGAUUGAUUUCUCUAUUCUACGUGUAUGUGAUGGCUCUUUA
ensembl:ncRNA Y71G12B.42 ncRNA